rnacentral:rRNA from 1 species
AUUGAACGCUGGCGGCAUGCCUUACACAUGCAAGUCGAACGGCAGCACGGGGCAACCUGGUGGCGAGUGGCGAACGGGUGAGUAAUAUAUCGGAACGUACCUUUCAGUGGGGGAUAACGUAGCGAAAGCUACGCUAAUACCGCAUAUUCUGUGAGCAGGAAAGCAGGGGAUCGCAAGACCUUGCGCUGAUUGAGCGGCCGAUAUCAGAUUAGCUAGUUGGUGGGGUAAAGGCGUACCAAGGCGACGAUCUGUAGCGGGUCUGAGAGGAUGAUCCGCCACACUGGGACUGAGACACGGCCCAGACUCCUACGGGAGGCAGCAGUGGGGAAUUUUGGACAAUAGGGGCAACCCUGAUCCAGCGAUGCCGCGUGUGUGAAGAAGGCCCUAGGGUUGUAAAGCACUUUCAGUUGAGAGGAACGGUUUAUGGCUAAUAUCCAUAAGCUUUGACGUUACCAACAGAAGAAGCACCGGCUAACUCUGUGCCAGCCGCCGCGGUAA